UUCAAAGAACAUGCUGAAGCCGGCUGCGUAAACUGUUUAGAUUCUUACUAAUCUAGCCAAAUUCACUAUCUUCAGAAAGAAGAGACUACAACAGGUGACAGAAGUGUCGCCAACAAAUAUACACACACAUCAGCGUGUGAAACAACGUCUCUGCAAUAUCAAGUCGAGGCUUCUGCAGAAAAUCUCCAUCAUCAUCCAGGUACUUCUCCAAGAGAAUGCGAAGAUCUGUGGCAAUAAACAGCACCAAGGUUACCAUAGUCAGCUGGAUCCAGUCAGUGUCCAGAGCAGAUGGUGGACCUGCACCCAGGAAUGACCACAACACAGCCCUCCAUGGCCAGAGAAGACCUCGAUGAGACAAGCCCUCAGGACAGAUCUUCAGCAAAGACCCAUCCUGUCAUCCUGGUCCUCAGCGAAGACCUCAGCAACUAGAAGAGCUCUCGGCACAGAUCCCAACAGCCAGCUAUGAACGAGUCAUGUCAGGACCAGCUAGGACCGUUGCACAGUUUUAUCAAAAAGGUCAUUCAUCGUGCUUAAGGCCACUGAUAAAUUAGUUGUCUACUACCGGCUGAACGGCAGCUCUACCUUCAUAUUCCAACCUGCUGCAUCUCCUUUUCCUACCUAACGCCGGUGUAAUGUAUCCUAAUCAAUACCACAUUGUGUUUGUUUGCUUGGGCCAGAGGAGAACUGGUCCCUGAGCCUGGUUUAUCCCAAGGUUUUUUCUCCAUUCUGCCACCUGAUAGAGUUUGAGUUCCUUGCCACUGUCACCUUUGUUUACUUAUUUGGGGUCUGAAAAGGGCCUUUCGCACCGUGGGAACCUUUCCAUAGUACCAGA